rnacentral:lncRNA from 1 species
AUGUCCCGCGCCCAUGCUGGGUCCUGUCCCCGGGAAGCCUCCCUCAGGCCCCGGAACCACGUGGGAGAGCAGCGACCCGUCAUGGGUGGCCGGAGUCCAGCCUGGCCCCCGGGUGGCCUCUGAUGUCCGGGAAGCAGGUGGAGCAGAGCCCUGUGUUUACUUCCCAGUCUGAGCAAACUGGCCGGGUCGGCCAGGCGGCCGGGAAACAGCAGAGGAAGCGGGAGCAGAAGCCUGGAGAUGCUGCCCCGCCCGGCAGGGGAACCAGUUGCAGCACGCAGGGGGGCAGGAAUCGCCAGGGCCCUUGCUCUGGAAGCUGGAGCUGCCCAGCAGUGUGGCUUUGAGCCCAGAGGCCCAGCAAAGAUGAUGGGGAGCCUGCUGCCCGGGAAAGGGCCCCACUCUGCAAGGCAUCCCUGAGCGCGCUGCUCCGGAAGGCGGCUGCCCACUCCAGUGGACAGCUCGGAGCUGCGCUGAUGCUCCAGUGGGGCCCGAGGCCAUGUGGACAGAGCCCGAAAUCAGAGCUCAGCACAGGGCCUGGCAGAGGCCACAGCUCUGCAGAUCAGAAGGGGAUGAUGCUCCUGCCUCAGUCUACUUCCAAACACCACAUGCAUAUCCACCUGAAACCGGCAGGCCAUGUGGACACACGGCAGACAGACAUAAGAGGGCGUCUGUCGUGUGAAGACCGGAAGCCAGGAGGCACCAACGAGGGGCUCUCCCUCCACAGCCCGGGGCACACCCUGCUCUCAGACGCUCACCUCCAGGACGGGAGGGAGCCACGCUGGUGCUGAGAGCCCUUUACUUCAGGACCACAAGCUGGGCUCAGACUGCAGGGCUGGGAGGCGGCCGAGGCGCAUGUCUGAUGUCUGCACGGGAGAACCAAAGAGCAGAAUCGAGCAGAAUCGGGAACUGGGCCCAGUGUGGCCCGGGCGGGACGGGCUUUAUCAGCCCAGGCUUCUGCUCUGCCUGGCACGGCCCUCAGGCAGCAGGCACACAGCAGCGUGGACACCCACCCAGCUCCUUGUCCCUCUGCCCUGCUUGUCCCUGCGUUUUGCCCCUAGCAGCUUGUGCUCACUUGCCAAGCUGUGACAGCCACCCAGCAUGACGCGCACUUCUGUGUUCCCUCCUGGGCCACCCCGGCGACUCCCCAUGUCUGACAGGGCCCAGCUCCUGAACUCAGCAGGUGCCCACUGAAUCUUGGGGACGAGGAACUACAUGACCAACCAGGUCACUAAACACUUGAGUCAGAGGCUGUACUGUUUGCUGAGCCGGCAGAGGAGCACCAGGCCUGGGAACCGGCGAGAAUGCUGUCGCGCUGAGCUCAUAACCCCUGAGCCAGAAGCAAUGGCUCUGCCCUGAGUGUGACCUGAAAAACGUAACCCUUCAGCUGCUGGCAGUGGCCAAGCCACAGGAAACGAGCCCGAGGGCAGCUGUGCAGGGCAGGGACGGUGUCUGCACACAUGCAGCACCCAUUGUCACAGCAGUGCCUAGUGUGCGAAUCGAUGUCCAGCGAGCAGCCGAGAGCCCAGGCUCAGCUGGAGGGGGCGGGU